CGGCGUUACGUCAUUUGAGAAAACAUCGAUUAAAGUUACGUUACCAAAAAAAUGGUUGACGUUACCACGUGUUCGCGGCAAUUGAUGCAUUUCUUGUUUUCAAUAAUACUCUACCUUGCCACAAGAAAAAAAUGAAGUGACAUUUAUAAACAUUUCCGUGUUUUGCAAUUCCGUUUCUUUAAAAAUUUUAAAUGAUUGAUAAUUUAUCGCCCUUUGAAUCGACACGCCAUUUGUAAACAUCGAAGGUCGCGGAGAAAAUGAAACUACCAAAAACAAUUAUUUGAUGAUUUAUUUCGAUUGUAUAAAGAAUGACAGUUAGCGAAUCUCAAGAUCAACCACUGUGGAUUGUUUGGCUUGAUGCAAUGACCUUAAACAGUGAAAUGAUUUUCCAGGAAGGUCUAUACACAACAAGCUGGAUUUUAUGGGGUGAUGAAAGAACUAUGAAUAUAUAAAUGGGAAUGAAACAGAAGGAAUUUAUAUGUUCUACUGAUCAUCCAGCUGAAAUCAUGCCUGUGGAAUAGAGUGCAUGUCACAAAUACUGAUAUGAGCAAAUAACUCCAUAUUGCACAAAUAAUGUCAUGUUUCCUGCCCUCAUGACCUGAAAAAGUUAAAAAUUCUAGUUCAAAUUACAGAUGUGUUUCAAGAAAAAGCUGUGAAGUUGUUUGAGAAGCACUAUCCUAAUUGUUCUAACAAUACAGAAUUUAACUUAUAAAUUUUCCAAAACUGCAUGCAUGAUAUACUAAGACAUGUCUGUUGAAUGAAUCCUAGUUGUUUCAAAACUACAACAUGUGUGACAUUAAAGCACAACCUUUGGAGGAAACAUUUUUACAAUAAAAACUGCCUUGCCAGUGUGAGUGUAGGAAGGAUUUUUCUAGAAAUGGCAGAAAACUACCAAUAUAGCAGAAAAUAUUUGUUACUGGCUGAAUAUAAUAUAUUUUAUUUCAAGAAUUAAUCAUGUUAAUCCAUGGUUAUAAUUGUGUUAAUAGAUAUUUUUAAAUGACAUGACCUUUGCAGAAAUAGCUAUUUUUUUGCAAAACAUUGUGAGUUGCCAUGGUAACACAAAUUUGACUUAAAUUUAGAUUUGUUUGAUUAUGUAAACAGCAUGUGUCUUGUUUAUAUUCUGCUAAUCAGACUGCAAGAAAAUAUCUUUUAUGUGUAACCAUCAACAAAACAUAUCAUAACACAUAUCUGCCAUAAAAUGGCAGAGCUGUAAAGCAGGUAGGCAUAUCAGGAAAAUAUGUAGUUCUGAAAGACAAGUUAUAUUACAUAAAAUUAUGUUUUUUUGUUUUUUUUUAUAAAUGAUCAUAAUUGACCAUUUGUGGUGUAAAACAAAUGUAUACUGAACAGAUGCUAAAUGAAUGUUCUGAUUCUUUCUGGAAAAUUUACAAAAAACUACUAUUUUAAGAAAAUAGUACAUUGUUGCCAUGGUAACAUUGAUUUAACUUUAAUAUUAAAUUUUUUUGGAUAUCAUCAUAUGUAAACAACAUCUUUCUUGUUUAUAUGUUAUAUAUCUUAAGCUGUAUUAUGUUAGUGAAUAUAUUUUCAUAUGUAAUAAUUGCAUCAACAAAGCACUAUGUUAUUACACAAGCCUGCCUUAAAAUGGCAAUAGUUGUAACUGAGAGGUGUAUCUGAAAAUUAUGUAUUUCUCAAACCAUAUUACAUUAAUUUUCACAGAAUGAUGUCUACUCUCUUACUUUUAAAUAAGAAAACAGACAGCUUUUGAUGUAAAUAUAUGGAAAAACACUUCCAAUAUUCAAUUAAUUACAAAGAAAUUGCCAAAAAUGUUAGUAUUUUUGUAAGAAAAUACCACAUUGUUGCCAUGGUAAUGUUAGUAUUUUUGUAAGAAAAUACCACAUCGUUGCCAUGGUAAUGGUUCACUGAUCAGUAUAUCAAAGUCUUUUGAAAUUUUAGCAAACUCACAGUUAAUAAUAACAGUCUAAUAAUUUUCUUUCUUACUGUUUAAUAGAUAAGGUGUCUAUAAUAAUAAGAUUAUUGUCCUAGUUUUUGGGAUGUUGUCUAAUUUGAUAUCAAAUAAAUUCUGUAUCUUGUUCAAAAGAAUGUCAUAAAACAGUUGUCUGCAAACUGUUAGCACACUAGAAAAAGUUAAUUGUGUAUUUAUUUCACAUUCUAUGUAAUUUAUUGCUAGAUUCAUCAAGAGACUGUUAAAAAAGAGGUUAAACAACAGUGUUGCUAUAGAAACGAUUUUUAGAACAAAAAUAUUUUUAUACUACAUGAAAGAAAGAGACAAAAAGAAAUACAUUCCAUUAAUUGCAUGUUGCUUUUGUUAUUUUAUCAUGUAUUUUAUCUUGAUAUUAUUUAAAUA